rnacentral:rRNA from 1 species
GACGAACGCUGGCGGCGUGCUUAACACAUGCAAGUCGAACGGAAAGGCCCUGCUUUUGUGGGGUGCUCGAGUGGCGAACGGGUGAGUAACACGUGAGUAACCUGCCCUUGACUUUGGGAUAACUUCAGGAAACUGGGGCUAAUACCGGAUAGGAGCUCCUGCUGCAUGGUGGGGGUUGGAAAGUUUCGGCGGUUGGGGAUGGACUCGCGGCUUAUCAGCUUGUUGGUGGAGUAGUGGCUGACCAAGGCUUUGACGGGUAGCCGGCCUGAGAGGGUGACCGGCCACAUUGGGACUGAGAUACGGCCCAGACGCCUACGGGAGGCAGCAGUGGGGAAUAUUGCACAAUGGGCGGAAGCCUGAUGCAGCAACGCCGCGUGCGGGAUGACGGCCUUCGAGUUGUGAACCGCUUUCGCCUGUGACGAAGCGUGAGUGACGGUAAUGGGUAAAGAAGCACCGGCUAACUACGUG